AGUGAGCGCUGGCGGUAGGCCUAACACAUGCAAGUCGAACGGCAGCACAGUAAGAGCUUGCUCUUACGGGUGGCGAGUGGCGGACGGGUGCGGAAUACAUCGGAAUCUACUUUUUCGUGGGGGAUAACGUAGGGAAACUUACGCUAAUACCGCAUACGACCUACGGGUGAAAGCAGGGGAUCUUCGGACCUUGCGCGAUUGAAUGAGCCGAUGUCGGAUUAGCUAGUUGGCGGGGUAAAGGCCCACCAAGGCGACGAUCCGUAGCUGGUCUGAGAGGAUGAUCAGCCACACUGGAACUGAGACACUGUCCAGACUCCUACGGGAGGCAGCAGUGGGGAAUAUUGGACAAUGGGCGCAAGCCUGAUCCAGCCAUACCGCGUGGGUGAAGAAGGCCUUCGGGUUGUAAAGCCCUUUUGUUGGGAAAGAAAAGCAGCAGGUUAAUACCCCGCUGUUCUGACGGUACCCAAAGAAUAAGCACCGGCUAACUUCGUG
rnacentral:rRNA from 1 species